AGGCAGUGUUUAAAGACAACAGAGAUAAUUGUAGUGAGAUCUAUAUAGAUCAUGAGUGUGUCAAGUUGCAAGAUUAUCCCGUUGGUCCUAGCUUCAUGGAUACUGCUAGCCACAAAUCAACUGGAUACUGUGUAUGGAAACUCAGCAUUCUGUCAAACAUUACUGAUGAAAGAGAAAUGCUAACAGUUUGUCCUGGAGAGUUGGUCUCUCUAACCUGUAGCCAUGACAAUGUUAAUGCCGAACAAAGUCGAUGGGAAAUUAGUGGAGCCAUGUCUUGCAAUGGUUUAGUGAGCCACACUACUGGUUUUGCAGAAUACACGUGUGGUCAAUUCACCAUCACCAUGCAUGGUCAGCAACAACACUGGCCCUACAGUGAGCUCAACUAUUCAAAUAUCUGUCACUGAGGUACUGAACGGUACUCUGAUUGAAUGCUUUGCUGGUGGUCUUUUUUCGUCGCCACUAGUUGGCAACACCACACUGAAUGUGAUAGAUAUAAAUGCACUGCCUGUAACUGCCUGGGUGGCAAAUCUGAGAACUAAUAGUUUAUGCCCUGUUCUGGAGUGGGACCCACUGGAUGCACCAUACCAGAGAUGUGUUACUGGAUACACUAUCAACCUGGAUGGAACAGUGUACAAUACCACCAACACAUCUCUAUCAUUAGCUGGAGAGAGCCUCCCUUACUGUGAGACUCAGACAGUGACUGUGACACCACUCACAA